GGUAUUUAGCUCUAUCCCAGAAAGUCUGUCAUUGUCAGUCGCGUGCGUAUCGUCGUUGGGUGUAGAUUAUUUUUCAAUUUUGCAUUCAACUACAGAACAAGCAAUAUACAAUAGAUCAGGAAGCUGUUCUGCAACAACAGUUUAACAGGUGGCCAAGGGCGCCUCAUACCGCGGACGUUGUGUUGCUCGCAGCUGAAACAGGUCUUUCCGAGGCUGACGUUGAAGGAUGGUAUGCCAUUCGACUGGC